rnacentral:rRNA from 1 species
GAGUUUGAUCCUGGCUCACAACGAACGCUGGCGGCAGGCCUAACACAUGCAAGUCGAGCGCCCCCUCGGGGGAGCGGCGGACGGGUGAGUAACGCGUGGGAGUAUGCCCUUAGGUGCGGAACAACCGCUGGAAACGGCGGCUAAUACCGCAUGACGUCCUGAUGGAGACAUUUGGGACCAAAGAUUUAUCGCCUAAGGAUUGGCCCGCGUUGGAUUAGGUAGUUGGUGAGGUCAAAGCUCACCAAGCCGACGAUCCAUAGCUGGUUUGAGAGGAUGAUCAGCCACACUGGGACUGAGACACGGCCCAGACUCCUACGGGAGGCAGCAGUGGGGAAUCUUGGACAAUGGGGGAAACCCUGAUCCAGCCAUGCCGCGUGAGCGAUGACGGCCUUAGGGUUGUAAAGCUCUUUCACCGGUGACGAUAAUGACGGUAACCGGAGAAGAAGCCCCGGCUAACUCCGUGCCAGCAGCCGCGGUAAUACGGAGGGGGCUAGCGUUGUUCGGAAUUACUGGGCGUAAAGCGCACGUAGCGGAUGUCUCAGUCGGGGGUGAAAUCCCGGGGC